AUACGGAGGGGGCUAGCGUUGUUCGGAAUUACUGGGCGUAAAGGGCUCGUAGGCGGCCAUUUAAGUCGGUUGUGAAAUCCCUCGGCUCAACCGGGGAACUGCGACCGAAACUGGAUGGCUUGAAGCCGGGAGAGGGAUGCGGAAUUCCAGGUGUAGCGGUGAAAUGCGUAGAUAUCUGGAGGAACACCCGUGGCGAAGGCGGCCACCUGGCCCGGUACUGACGCUGAGGUGCGAAAGCGUGGGGAGCAAACCGGAUUAGAAACCCGAGUAGUCC
rnacentral:rRNA from 1 species